GAUGAAGAACGCAGUGAAAUGCGAUACUUGGUGUGAAUUGCAGAAUCCCGUGAACCAUCGAGUCUUUGAACGCAAGUUGCGCCCGAAGCCACUAGGCCGAGGGCACGCCUGCCUGGGCGUCACACGCCGUUGCCCCCCCAUCUACUCCUUCGGGAUUGCGGGGGGGCGGAUGAUGGCCUCCCGUGCGCCUAGCCGCGCGGUUGGCAUAAAUACCAAGUCCUCGGCGACGCACGCCACGACAAUCGGUGGUUGCGAAACCUCGGUUGCCCGUCGUGUGCGUUCGUCGCGCGUCGAGGGCUCGAAAAAAUGCUCGGCUCCGGCUGGGCUUUCAACGCGACCCCAGGUCAGGCGGGGUUACCCGCUGAAUUUAAGCAUAUCAAUAAGCGGAGGA
rnacentral:misc_RNA from 1 species